AUGCCUGUACCAUAACCGACACAGGUGGGUAGGUAGAGUAUACUAAGGGGCGCGAGAUAACUCUCUCUAAGGAACUCGGCAAAAUGACUCCGUAACUUCGGGAGAAGGAGUGCCUUAUUUAUAAGGUUGCAAUAACAAGAUCCAAGCAACUGUUUAUCAAAAACACAGGUCUCCGCUAAGUCGUAAGACGAUGUAUGGGGGCUGACGCCUGCCCAGUGCCAGAAGGUUAAAGAAGUUGGUUAGUGUAUGCGAAGCUGAUGACUGAAGCCCUGGUGAACGGCGGCCGUAACAAUAACGGUCCUAAGGUAGCGAAAUUCCUUGUCGGGUAAGUUCCGACCCGCACGAAAGGCGUAAUGAUUUGGAUACUGUCUCGGAGAGAGGCUCGGUGAAAUAGACUUGUCUGUGAAGAUGCGGACUACCUGCACCAGGACAGAAAGACCCUAUGAAGCUUUACUGUAACUUGAAAUUGGAAUUGGACUUUGCUUGCGCAGUAUAGGUGGGAAGCGUUGAAGAUAUUCUUGCGGGAGUAUUGGAGCUAUCAGUGAGAUACCACUCUUGUAAUGUUAGAUUUCUAACUUUGAACCAUAAUCUGGUCAAAGAACAGUUUCAGGUGGGCAGUUUGACUGGGGCGGUCGCCUCCCAAAUGGUAACGGAGGCGUACAAAGGUUUCCUCUGAACGGAUAGAAAUCGUAUCUAGAGUGUAAAGGCAUAAGGAAGCUUGACUGUGAGACCUACAAGUCGAGCAGGGACGAAAGUCGGUCUUAGCGAUCUGACGGUACUGAGUGGAAAGGCCGUCACUCAACGGAUAAAAGUUACUCUAAGGAUAACAGGCUGAUCUCCCCCAAGAGUUCACAUCGACGGGGAGGUUUGGCACCUCGAUGUCGGCUCAUCGCAUCCUGGGGCGGUAGUACGUCCCAAGGGUUGGGCUGUUCGCCCAUGAAAGCGGUACGCGAGCUGGGUUCAGAACGUCGUGAGACAGUUCGGUCCAUAUCCGGUGUAGGCGUUAGAAUAUUGAGAGGAGCCUUCUUUAGUACGAGAGGACCGAGAAGGACACACCGCUGGUGUACCAGUUAUCGUGCCAACGGUAAACGCUGGGUAGCUAUGUGUGGAGUGGAUAACCGCUGAAAGCAUCUAAGUGGGAAGCCCACCUCAAGAUGAGUAUUCUCACAGGGUUAACCUGGUAAGGUCACGGGAAGACCACCCGUUAAUAGGCACUAGGUGGAAGUCCAGUAAUGGAU
rnacentral:rRNA from 1 species